UUAUAUACUAAUUCUGACAGGCUAUUUUCAUUUUUGGUAUUUAUGAAGGCAUAAAUACCAAAAAUGAAAAUAGCCUGUCAGAAUUAGUAUAAGUAAA